ensembl:lncRNA
CGCUGAAGUGAGGAGUGCUGAACUGAAGGAACGAGGCAGGCCCAGGUCUGGAAGGCAGGGGUGCUGAGGGGCUGUACAGGUCCCUGGGACAGAGACACUAGCAGAGGAUAGGCCAUUGGGACAUCCAGCUGGAGAAAAUAAUGCUUCAUUCUCAUGCUUAUCACCAGGGCUAUCUCACCAUAAGCGUGGCACAGUGCUGCCCAUCAUGAUGGAGUUGGAGAUGCAACAGGAGUGUUGAUGAGGAAUCCUGUCAGAAGACUACAGCAGUCAUUUAAGCCAGAGAUGGGUGAGGAAGGAAAGCCUACGUUGUUUGUGGGACCUGGUGCAAAAUGGAAGCGUGGGGUCCCGUGUUCUUAAAUUACUAAGGAUUUCAAGCCAAUGACAGCAAAGCAUUGAACACUGUGUGGGGCCCUCUUGAGUGCGGGCCAUGUGAUUACAGGUCUUGUGCUGGAAGCUUGGCAUACAGGAAGCUGGGCAUGGUGCUCAGACUUCAGCCUUAAUCCAUGAACUGCAACCUCCUGCUAUUUUCAGUCCUGGUCAGUGGGAUACCCUGGGAUAUUUGUACUGAAAGACGCUGGGUCAGUAAAGGAGAAACAACUGACAAUGGAUGGCAGCUCAGCAGCGUUCCUAUGGGCCAGAGCUCAGAUCCUUUAUCUGGAACUCGAAAGCCUCCUGCAGGCCUGUGGGAUCUUACCUCCCUGACCAGGGAUCGAACUUGGACUCCAUAUAUUAGCAGAAGAAGUAAUCACUGGACAACAGGGGAAGUCCCUGCAGUCACUUUUAACUGCUCGACUACACUGCUCUUCAGAGAAGGUCGGCACACACUUGCCCUGCAGGAGGUGCUCAGUACCAAAGUGAGCACCAUAGUGCCUCCAUACCAAGGUCUGCUGACUGUGGAAUUCACCUCCUGGGUUUCCUUUCUCUCAGGGAUUAGAGUUCUAAUAAAUAUUUGCUCCUGAUGGAGAGCACUGGACGGAGAGCUCUGACAACUGGAGGAUUGUGUGGGAAUCUAGAUCCACCCUCAGAAACCAUGCAGCCUCAGUCUGCAGGCACCACAUCUGAUUUGCACAAGAACAGAGGAGAUGCAAGAGGAAGAUGGCGAGGAAUUCCUGAGCCCCCUGAGGAAGUUCUCAGAAUACCAGGGUCAGAAACUCUACCAAGAAAUGAAAUAAUAACA